rnacentral:rRNA from 1 species
AGCGAACGCUGGCGGCAGGCUUAACACAUGCAAGUCGAGCGGGCAUCCUUGUGGUGUCAGCGGCAGACGGGUGAGUAACGCGUGGGAACGUGCCCUUCGGUUCGGAAUAACUCAGGGAAACUUGAGCUAAUACCGGAUACGUGCGAGAGCAGAAAGGUUUAUCUGCCGAAGGAUCGGCCCGCGUCUGAUUAGCUAGUUGGUGAGGUUAUGGCUCACCAAGGCGACGAUCAGUAGCUGGUCUGAGAGGAUGAUCAGCCACACUGGGACUGAGACACGGCGCAGACUCCUACGGGAAGCAGCAGUGGGGAAUAUUGGACAAUGGGGGCAACCCUGAUCCAGCCAUGCCGCGUGAGUGAUGACGGCCUUAGGGUUGUAAAGCUCUUUUCUCCGGGACGAUAAUGACGGUACCGGAGGAAUAAGCCCCGGCUAACUUCGUG